GUGGGGAAUAUUGGGCAAUGGACGCAAGUCUGACCCAGCAACGCCGCGUGAAGGAAGAAGGCUUUCGGGUUGUAAACUUCUUUGACAGGGGAAGAGCAGAAGACGGUACCCUGAAAACAAGCCACGGCUAACUACGUGCCAGCAGCCGCGGUAAUACGUAGGUGGCAAGCGUUGUCCGGAUUUACUGGGUGUAAAGGGCGUGUAGCCGGGGAGACAAGUCAGAUGUGAAAUCUGGAGGCUCAACCUCCAAACUGCAUUUGAAACUGUUUCUCUUGAGUAUCGGAGAGGUAAUCGGAAUUCCUAGUGUAGCGGUGAAAUGCGUAGAUAUUAGGAGGAACACCAGUGGCGAAGGCGGAUUACUGGACGACAACUGACGGUGAGGCGCGAAAGCGUGGGGAGCAAACAGGAUUAGAAACCCUAGUAGUCC
rnacentral:rRNA from 1 species